rnacentral:tRNA from 1 species
GGGCCGUUAGCUCAGUCUGGUAGAGCACCUGACUCUUAAUCAGGGGGUCGCAGGUUCGAAUCCUGCACGGCCCACCA